rnacentral:rRNA from 1 species
AUUGAACGCUGGCGGCAUGCUUUACACAUGCAAGUCGAACGGUAACAGCACUUCGGUGGCUGACGAGUGGCGAACGGGUGAGUAAUACAUCGGAACGUGCCUAGUAGUGGGGGAUAACUACUCGAAAGAGUAGCUAAUACCGCAUGAGAUCUAAGGAUGAAAGCAGGGGACCUUCGGGCCUUGCGCUACUAGAGCGGCUGAUGGCAGAUUAGGUAGUUGGUGGGAUAAAAGCUUACCAAGCCGACGAUCUGUAGCUGGUCUGAUAGGACGACCAGCCACACGGGGACUGAGACACGGCCCAGACUCCUACGGGAGGAAGCAGUGGGGAAUUUUGGACAAUGGGCGCAAGCCUGAUCCAGCAAUGCCGCGUGCAGGAUGAGGGCCUUCGGGUUGUAAACUGCUUUUGUACGGAACGAAAAGCCCUCUUCUAAUACAGGAGGGUCAUGACGGUACCGUAAGAAUAAGCACCGGCUAACUACGUG